AGAAUAGUAGUUAAAUAUAACAUUUGGGUUGCAAUCAAAAAGUACUAAAAAGUCUAUUUUA
rnacentral:tRNA from 1 species